AGCGCAGACGGUUGAUUAAGUCUGAUGUGAAAGCCCGGAGCUCAACUCCGGAAUGGCAUUGGAAACUGGUUAACUUGAGUGCAGUAGAGGUAAGUGGAACUCCAUGUGUAGCGGUGGAAUGCGUAGAUAUAUGGAAGAACACCAGUGGCGAAGGCGGCUUACUGGACUGUAACUGACGUUGGGGCUCGAAAGUGUGGGUAGCAAACA
rnacentral:rRNA from 1 species